UUGCAGCUCCCAGAUGCAGCAGGACCAGAAGAAGGCUUGCUGAAGAAGUCUUUCUCUAUGGAAUUAAGCCAAGGUUUCGAGCUCCCGGAUGCAGGAAGACCAGUGAAAGGGUUUCCGAGGAAGUCUCUUUCCAUGGAAUUGAGCCAAGGUUUUGAGCUCCCAGAUGCAGCAGGACCAGAAGAAGGCUUGUUGAAGAAGUCUUUCUCUAUGGAAUUAAGCCAAGGCUUCGAG